UAACACAGUUCAGGUAUAUCGAUUUAUGGUUUGUCUCCUUUUGCCCUCUUCUACUUCUUCUCUGUUGAUGGCGUUGUUUGAUUUGGCCCGCUGUGUUUAUUUGUUUUGUUAGGGUAUCGAUUUGUCUCCGUCUUCUAGUUUACUUUGCAGUUCCUAUUCUAAAGCGAGUCGAUUGCGCAGAAUGAAGAGGAACACAGUAAGUUUCCCGAGAUCCCGAUUGUUCUAUCUAUCUACCCACUAUGAUUCUCUCACCUAAUAUCUUCCCAAUUGUGAUGAUAUAUGCUAUCUGUAUUUGCAAGGACAAUCAGGUCAAUUUGGUCACCAUUGGAACAAACAGAAGGGGGACGGUUGGUUUAAAUUUCAUAUGUUUAUCUAAAUUCAAACAAACAAAGAAAGAAAAGAAGUGGUUGACAGGCGACGGGGACGGUGCCAGCGUCUACCCUGAGUUCAUCGAUCUUGUGAUACCGAUUGACACCAAAGAAGUUGAGCAAAACGAUUCUGAUUGUCAUUCAGGCAAUUAUUUGAAUAGGACAUCAAGAAGGUGUAAAAGAGUAUUGGAAGGGCACUAAGGAUGAUAGAAGAUUAUGUGGAUCUCAAAUCAAGUGCUAAAAUGUCUGUUUUUAUCAUUUUUUGGCAUAUUUUACUGUUCAUGUAUGUAAUGAUUUUAGAAGCUCUAACCGAAUUAAAAAGAUAUGUUGAGUAUUGGCUUAGGUUUCUAUUUUUUUUUUUUUUUUGUAUUUUCAACUGUAGUUAGAUGAAUAUAGGGAAGAAAACGAAGUAUAUGGUCUUGAAAUGCAUCCAAAUGGAACAAAAAAGCUUAUGGAAGUAGAAAUUUAUCAUUCUUUUAUGUAUUUUUCUAAUAUUCCAGAUUUCGUGUCGGUCUUUGAACUUUCCAUAUUGAUUUGCAAACCAGUGAUGAUUCAAGUAAUGGGAAGUAGGGUGAUGGAAAAGCCUGCAAAGGAGGCAAAACACUUUCCAAAAGGGACUCAACUUCCCAGGUGACUUUAUUGAUCUAAGUCCAUUUUUUCGUCUACAUACAUGUUGUCUAUUUUCUUUGUUCAGGAGCAAUCCUCAGGUAAUUCCAUGGAGGCUGUCCCAUAUUAGACGGGGUUUUCAGGUUUCAUAUAUUUACCACUUUUAACCUUUGUGAAUUGGAUACUAAAUAUAGAUGAGAUUAGAUGUUUUAAAUCUCUGCAAUCAAAUGACAUAGCUUUCUCUUUGCUUUCUGAUUUCUUCUCAAUUUCAAUAGAAAUAUUGUUGGUUCAUGUAACUAUACAUGUGUCAAACGUGACAGGUCUUUUCUUGGCAGUUCGUAGUAUAAAUGAUCGAAAUUAGUGCAGUCAUAAGGAAAUGAAGAAUUGGUUUGCCAUGUCUCUUCUUUGGACUGAAAAUGAUAAUAAAGGGUAUUAUGGUCUUUUUUGGUUACACUUAAUUGUGAUAGAUAUUUUCAAGACAGUGUGAAGCUUCGAGUCCAUGAUUGACAUGGGAAAAGUAGUCUUUGUUGUUUUAUAGAUUUGGUGCAAUAAAAGUUUUAAGGGGUAUUUUUGUAACAUGGAACAGUGAAAGAGUUAAAAGGGAAUAUUAGCCUUUUAUUUUAACGUAAAAGAAAGAUGGUGGAAAAAGACGAGGAAAGUUUGACUUCUUAUUACUUUUAAAAGCUUACUGAGUUGUACUUAUUGCAUCGUAACAUGUAGAUUACUUUCAAUUUUACUGUUUUGGGGUAUUUGGUUGAAAGGACUAACCUAUGUUGUUGUUCGGUCACAGAAACAAAAAAGGAUUGCAAUUGUCAAUGGCAGUAGUGCUGACCACCGGAGAUAAUUACUGGUCACGAAAAACACAUGAUCGGUAUAAAAAUAUAAUUUUCUCAUCUAAGUUGACAGAUAGUUUUUAAUUGCAUGAUGUUUUGCUAUCUUUUGGCUUUUGCUAUUUCAGUUAUUGGAUAGUUGGUAUAUCUGCAAAGUUAAGCAAGGAGUGCGUGAAGGUAAAUUCAAUUCCCCUCAUAUGUGAACAAAAACUUCAUGGUAGAUGAGGGAACACUACAAAACUAGUCGACAGUUCAAGUAGAAACCAAGGAAGUUACAAAACCCACUGCAUCUCAACAAGGCUCUAGGAAAGUCGAAAAGUGGAAAAUAAAUUUUUUAUCGACACAGAAGUGGGAGAAUCCAUUAAUAGGGUGGACAUCGACUGCAGACGCGUAUGCUAAUGUUGGUGAAGCAGGACUCAGUUUUGAAAGUGAGGAGGCAGCCAAAGCAUUUGUUGAGAAGCAUUGUUGGGAAUAUGUGGUAUAUAUGUUCCUACCAUUCUUUAUGUAUUCAAAACAACAAAAAAUUAAAGUAUAAUUGACUGAUAAAUGUAAAAAAAUAGCAAGUUACUUUUGUUGA